UCACCUCUAGUUUAAUUUAGAAUACUAGUUUGUCGUAUUAGAGGUGUGUUUUUUGUGCGAGGUGAG
rnacentral:tRNA from 1 species